ensembl:lncRNA
UGACGUCACCGCGUUGACGUGAACGGCCGCUCGGCGUCCGACCGUCCCAGCAUUUCCUCCCACGGCCGCACAGGGUGGCACAUCUGCGCCUAUUGGUCGGAAUGCAACGGUGGGCAUGACCAGGGCGUGGCAGAGAGAAGACUCCUUGGGCGAGCCUCGAAGGCUGCUCGAAGCCGCCGUGAUGGACCUGUUUUCACGUCGCUCACGUCCUCCCUAGCCGAGAAGGCGCUUUCGGAAGCGAGCGGUCGCCGGCAUCGUGGCUAAGCCUGGCUUCCUCUCAGUCCUACCUGGACCGAAGCCGAAGCAGGCUGAAGCGAGCGUGUGAGCCCCGGAUUCCAGACCCGCGUCUGAUGCUUCAGGACCUGUGAUGAUGUGCAGUGUGUGUUAGGUGUCACCCAGCCUCACACGCCGUCAUAGGUUAUGUGCUUAACAAAAAACACCAGAGAGAAAAUCCCGAUGAACCCAAAUUUAGACACCACUCAUUUCAAAAAAAAAAAAAAAAAAAAAGAGGGUUCCACGUGGUCUUACAUACUGAGUUCCUAUCGCGUGUCACAAUACACAGGAAACCUGUCCCCUUGCUCAAGGAGCUGUAUUGUGACUCAGCAGGGGAGUGCAUGUACAAAUGCCUGGCCUCGGCCCGAGCUUGCCCAAGAGCCUGGUGAACAGACCUAGGCUUCAAAAGGAUUGGCAACUUCUGCCUUAUUUGAAGGCAGCUGCUGUGGAAAAACCAUCACUGAUGUCACCAUGCCGAGAGCAGUCAUGUGAGGAGACUGGAAGACACCAAGGAUCUUACCAUGUGAAUGAAGCUUUUGGGAGCAUCAAGGGAACUGUAACCACUAACUGAGAUGCUAAAUGCAUGAUCUUCAUCCAGGCUGUGGAGCAGCAGCAGAACUACAGGGUAGAACCAUCGUUGAGUGCCAGUUCACAUAAUCAAAUGGAGACCAUCACAGAAAACCAGAAAUGGGCACAGUACAGAAAUCAACGGAUUGUGGGGAGCACAACCCCAAUGAAUAUAUCUACAUCCAUGAUUCAAAAUAUCUCAGAAGGGGAUGGAAAGAUUGUAAGAGCCAAAAUUCCAGGAAGUCAUCUAUGAAAUGGACUCUCCUAGAAAUGGCUUUAUAACAACUAGGACAAUGGUAAUAUCAAUGGACAUGCUGGAGUGGGGAGCAGAAAAUUUCAGUGGUGUUUCAUCCCUAGACAAUGAGCGACAGCUAAUGACUGCUGGAGAAUUACACUCUCCAGGGAAGAGCCCCUUGGUUGGAUAUUAAAUAUAGAGUGGUCAGCCUUGAAGCCAUAUACAUACAAUGAACCAAAUAAGUUCUGUUUACAUAUAUCUGUGCAUACAUACACGUAACAAGUAUAAUUAAAGAAGCCAUCAAGUUGAGGGAAUACAUGGGAGGAGUUUGAGUGAGGGAAAGGAG